CGGGCGCGGAGCAUGGGGCUGGCGGCUGCCGAGGCGCCGGCGGGCUGGGGAGGGCCCGGCCCGGCGGCGAGAGGGGGCUGCGCCGAGCGCUCCGCGGCCAGGCCCGGCCGGUAGGGCAGCCGCACUCCCGCCCCGGCGGGCCAUGGCCGAGCCCGAGCCCCCCGCGGCGGCCCGGCGGUGGCGAGACGCCGCCCUGCGCGCACGGAAGCUGCGGAGCAACCUGCGGCAGCUGAGCCUCGGCCCCCGCGAGGAGCCGGAGCCCGCCGGGCCGCCCGCGCCGCGCCGCCCGCCGCUGCCCGCCGGGCCGGGCGAGCCGGCGGCGCUGAGCCUGAGCGGGCGCGGCCUGGAGGAGCUGCCCGAGGGGCUGGGCGCCGCGCUGGGCGGCCUGCGCGUCCUCAGCCUGCGCAGGAACCGCCUGUCCCGGCUCCCCGCCGCGCUGCGCCACCUGGGCCGCCUGGCCGAGCUCGACCUCAGCCACAACCGGCUGGGCGGCCUGGGGGACGGCGAGGCGCUGGCGCCGCUGCGGGAGCUGCGCAAGCUGAGCCUGAGCCACAACCAGCUGGGCGCGGACGGCGCGGCGCUGCCCGGGCGGCUGGGCGCGCUGCGGCGGCUGGAGGAGCUGGACCUGAGCUUCAACCGCCUGCGCCGCCUGCCCGAGGCGCUGGGCCGCCUGCCGCGGCUGCGCUCGCUGGACGUGGACCACAACCAGCUGCCCGCCUUCCCGGCGCCGCUGCUGGAGCUGGGCGCGCUGGAGGAGCUGGACUGCUCCGGUAACCGGCAGCUGCGCGUGCUGCCCGAGGGCAUCGCCGCCUUGCGCUGCCUCAAGAUCCUGUGGCUGAGCGGCACGGGGCUGGGCGCGCUGCCCGAGGGGCUGUGCCAGCUGGGCGCCCUGGAGAGCCUCAUGCUGGAUGGGAACCAGCUGCGGGUCCUGCCCCCCGGCUUCGGCCGCCUGCAGCGCCUCAAGAUGCUGAACCUCUCCUCCAACCUGCUGGGUGAGUUCCCCGAGGCCGUGCUCGCCCUGCCCAGCCUGGAGGAGCUCUACCUGAGCCGCAACCAGCUGCCCUUGCUGCCUGCCCGCCUCUGCCAGCUGCACCAGCUCCGCACCCUCUGGUUGGACAACAACCGGAUCCGCUACCUGCCCGACUCCAUUGUGCAGCUCCACAGCCUGGAGGAACUCGUGCUGCAGGGCAACCAGAUCGCCAUCCUGCCCGAGGGCUUUGGGCAGCUCUCCCGGGUCACCCUCUGGAAGAUCAAGGACAACCCGCUCAUUCAGCCCCCUUACGAGGUUUGCAUGAAGGGCAUCCCCUACAUUGCUGCUUACCAGCAGGAGUUGGCCCACUCCCAGCCUGCUCUCAAGCCCCGGCUCAAGCUGGUCCUCAUGGGCCUGAAGGAUGCUGGCAAGACCUUGCUGAGAAGGUGCCUGAUGGAGGAGGAGAGGCAGAGAGACUCUCCCCUGGCUGCAGCUGGCAAAGAUGGUGGGAGAACCCAGCAGCAACAAGACAUCGCUCUGGGCCUGACUCCUGAAGGUGGUGGGAAAAUACAGCUAGGACACAGCCCCAUCACUGAGCCCCGAGAUGCUUCGACUUCAAAAGGCUCCUCGGUAGGACAUACCUCCAUUGAGCAGCAGGACCCAUUGCUGUCCCCGUCCCUUAAAGUUGCUGGGAAAAUCAAGUUAGAGCACCAGGACAUCUACCUGUCUCCAUCCCCAAAAGUUAAUGGGGAAGCCCAGAUAGGACACUUCCCCAUGCUGCUGGAGCGAGAUGCCCCCCUAACGCCAUUGGUAGCAGGCCUGACCGGCACCAGACAGGGUAUCGAGGUGACGGACUGGACGGCAGAUGCAGAGAGGGGUCUGACCUUCAUUGUGUAUGAGCUGGCAGGUGACCCUAGCUACGACGUGAUCCAAUCCUUCUUCCUUUCGCCGGGAGCCUUGUAUGUGCUGGUGGUGAACCUGAGUGCCUACACCCCACAUUGCUUCUACUCUGCAGUGGGCUACUUCCUGCACUGGCUAGGUGCCAAAGUGCCCCAUGCUGUAGUGUGCAUGGUGGGCACGCAUGCUGACCUGUGUGCUGAGCGGGAACUGGAGGAGAAGUGCCUGGACAUCCACCACCAAAUUGCCCUUCAGGAGAAGCGGGAUGCCGAGGGACUCCAGAGCUUGGCCCAGCAGGUGGACAAUGCCCUGGGACAGGACUUUGACCUGCGUUGCUCCAGCCCCCACACUGCCUUCUAUGGGGUUUCAGACAAGAACCUGCGGCGCAAGAAGGCCCAGUUCCAGUAUCUGCUCAACCACCGGCUGCAGAUCCUCUCGCCGGUACUGCCCAUUAGCUGCCAGGACCACUACCAGGUGCGCCGCCUGCGGGACAAGCUUCUGUCAGUAGCUGAGCACCGGGACAUCUUCCCAAACCUGCACCGGGUGCUACCCAAGUCCUGGCAGGUGCUGGAAGAGCUGCACUUCCAGCCGCAGGCUCAGCAACUGUGGCUCAGCUGGUGGGAUUCGGCACGGCUGGGCUUGCAGGCGGGCCUGACCGAGGACCGACUCCAGAGCGCCCUGUCCUAUCUGCAUGAAAGUGGCAAGCUCCUGUACUUCGAGGAGCAUUUGACUCUGCGGGAGUACGUAUUCCACAAUCUGCCUGGGCUCAUUGACAUCCUCAAUGUCUUCUGCCAGCAGGACACCACGGUGCUGCUCCAGAAACUGCUCAGUGACACCCAUAUAGAUGAACUGAGAACCACCCAGCUCCACCACUACGUGGAAGGGUUCCUGCUGCAUGGGCUUCUUCCUGCCCAUGUUAUCCGCCUACUUCUCAAACCCCAUAUCCAGAGCCGGGAGGACCUGCAGCUUAUCCUGGAGCUGCUGGAGAAAAUGGGGCUCUGCUACUGCAUCAAUAAGCCCAAAUGCAAACCCCUGAAUGGAGCCACUGCCUGGUACAAGUUCCCCUGCUAUGUGAAGAACGAGGUGCCCCAUGCAGAGGCAUGGAUUAAUGGUACCAACCUGAGCGGACAGUCUCUUGUCAUUGAACAGUUGCAGAUUGAAUACACCUUCCCCUUCAUUUUCCCAUCUGGGUUAUUUGCACGCUACAGUGUCCAGAUUAACAGCCAUGUGGUUCAGCGGUCCGAUGGCAAAUACCAGAUUUAUGCCUACAGGGGGAAGGUACCUGUGGUGGUGAGUUACAGGCCUGCUAGGAGCACUCAGCAGCCAGAUACUCUGUCUAUUGCUAGUCACGCAUCUCUACCAAAUAUAUGGACAGCCUGGCAAGCUAUUACCCCCUUAGUGGAAGAACUGAAUGUACUGCUUCAAGAAUGGCCAGGUCUGUACUACACUGUGCACGUCCUCUGUUCCAAGUGCCUUAAAAGAGGAUCGCCAAACCCAUACGCUUUUCCAGGAGAAUUGCUGAGUCAGCCUAGACCAGAGGGAGUGACGGAGAUCGUCUGCCCCAGGAAUGGCAGCGAGCGAGUCAAUGUUGCACUGGUUUACCCCCCCACUCCGACAGUCAUCAGCCCUUGUUCCAAGUGAGCUCUGAGAGACGCACGGACCCCCAAUUUCAGUACACGCCAAAAACCCUACAUAAGACAAGCCCUUGCUAAGCAUUUUUGAAAACUAGCCACCACAGAGCCCAGGGACUGUUCUAAUUAUUAGUGGGAUGUGGACAUCCCAUUCUCAGAAUAAAGAGGAAGAAACUAGUGAUUUAUUGCUGUGAUGUUAAGUGAGGAAAAGAAAACCCUGGACUUGAAUCUCUUUCCCAGCUGGAAGACCGUUUCCUGAUAACUCGGCGUGAUCUAUGGACACACUAACAAGAAGAGUUCAGAUGUUUUCAAGGAAUAAAUGCCGUGGCUUGGUAAAGCAGAACUGAGUAAAUGUUUUACACCUGAACCUUAGAAUCAUGAUCAUCCUCCAAGGAAGAGCUGCUUGACAAACGAACUGUGUGAGCGGCUUCUCAGGGAUUCUGUUUGCUGUACACAAAUAGCCAUAAUGUUGGGAUUGAUGGCAGUAUUUAGAGCACUCCAGUUUGUUUCUAUUUCAUGUGGAAGCGGGAUCAUUCACCUGAAGUUCACUGCUGUUCAUUAACUGGUGUGGAACAAUGUGGUUUGUCUUUAUUUUUGUAAUGUGCAAAACCAUUUAAUUUUCUACACAGUUUAAAGCUUCUAGCAUUAGUGACCACUGGGUGCAAUAUUCUGCUUGGUAGCCCUGCCAAAUAGUCCGUGGGUUCUUGGUUUGUUGUCGAUAUGUUCAAGUAUCUAUCACUGUUCUUGUGUCCCUCACACACAAUGUUAGCUCACCAAGUACACUUCAGACUAUCACUAUUGAGCAGCUCACAGGAGCGGCUGCUUCUGGGGACGUUCUCCCCUCUCCGCGGUGAGGAUAUGCUGCCUGAUGUUAAUCAUCCCUGUCUCUCUUCACUUCCAAGAAACCCAAAAGAACCCCCCAGCCUGAGGCAGAACGAGGCAGCCAGAAGAUACUAGUUUGGGAAUACCUUCACUUCCAAGUGCCAUGCUUCAACCCAGCACAAUGGCAAGGAGCAGGGGGACUAGGCAUUCAAUGAAAAUAAUCUGUGACUAAUCACAGGCCAAGCAUCAGUGAAAUUGGUGUCGCUGACCUCGUAGUGGAGGAGAUGGUGCUAAGGUGGGCAGGGAAACCAUACAUUUUCAGCCGGCAUGCACACCCCUCACUGUCAUACUAUGCUUGGGAGUUAAUGAACUGUUGUAAUCAAGCCGGCAUUCUCAACCAGAGAGCAGAAUAUUGUGCUCACUAACCGGUUGCCAGUCUUCAGGUUGCUGUCUGAUCUGUGUUCUACAUAAAUAGCACAGUUCAGAAGGGCAAACCAAUACAUCAUUUACCCUUGGGGCAACAAUGGGAGGCAGACAGCACCAUUAUUCUUUGGGAUGUGACCAGUAGCAUCUUAUAUUGCAUUUGAAAGCAGAAUCCCAGCACUGAAGAGGCAGUUCCAGUUAAAUGAAGCUCAAAUGCAGCAGUCACUCUAUGUGCUUACUUUGUGUGUUGACAGAAAAUGUGCAUAACUAUAUGUACGUAAUCAGUGAGAGCAUGGAAAGGUGGGAACUCUGUCAGUGGAUUUUACUUCACAUGUCUUGUAUAGUGAGAAAUCUGGAGUAUUCUUGCAGUACUGGAUUGUUGCUGGACCACAUACAUCCCUGGUUGUAACUGCAUUGACACCUUUGGAGUUCUUGCCAGAGAGGAGUUUGGAUCCAUAGCCCCAGUUUCCGCUGACUGCUUAGGCUAAGGCCAGGGUUGGGCUGACUAGUCCCUUUUCAACGUGCAUUGUUCUCUCCAGGUUCGGCCUUUGUUAAACGCUUUAGGACUCCGUUUUAAAUCUGAAUACAGCUGAAGUCUAAGAAUUAAUUAAGGUUAACCAGGUUUGUCUGUACUGCAGGCUCUGAAGGCAGCUCAGGGUUUGUGCAACAGGAGUCAGAACCGAAGGAGAUGGUUUCCCUUGGGCAGCCCCCCCGUGUAACUGUAAACCUUAAAAGUAAAGGCAGGUGUAUGUGUUCAGCUUCUCUGGGGACAUGCGCAUGCCUGGUCCCUGCUAUAGGGUUUCUGAUCAGUGGGGGUCAUACCAGGGUGAAUUUUUUUUGUGUGCUGUUACCUAAACCUGCCCAAGUGGCAAAGCCUGUGCCCAGGUGUGACAGGCGCUGUGCUGGCGGGGUGCAGGAAAUGUGUGAGAAUGGCUGAAGAAACAAACAAUUGGAAAUGCUCCUUCGCUGGGCAGGAACAUUCACCCUCUGUGCAGGAAGCUCCUUUCUGUCUCAUCACCUGGGAGCUUUACAGCCAGACUCCCAGGGAGCUCAGCUGCUGCAACCCCAGGCUGGAUCCUGUUGGGACAGCAUCACUGAAAGACCUGUGUCAGGCUCUUCAGGAAAAGGUCAAAGUUCUACUCCAGUAAGCACAAGAGCAACGAUUCUGACCAGGCAGGUCCCCCCAGGCCAGAAACUUCUCCUUGAGGCUGUUCUGUCUUCUGCUUGUGCCUCUUGUGGUAGAAAAGCCAGUUCCCAAGUUUGUGUCCAAGGCACUGCCCACGUGUUUUUCCUUC